rnacentral:rRNA from 1 species
UACGUAGGCGGGCAAUUAAGUCAGAGGUGAAAUCCCACAGCUCAACUGUGGAACUGCCUUUGAUACUGGUUGUCUUGAGUUAUAUUGAAGUGAGUAGAAUAUGUAGUGUAGCGGUGAAAUGCUUAGAUAUUACAUAGAAUACCGAUUGCGAAGGCAGCUCACUAAGUAUAUACUGACGCUGAUGGACGAAAGCGUGGGGAGCGAACAGGAUUAGAUACCCUGGUAGUCC